AGGAUGAAUUAGUGUCCAAGUCCAAAAAACGCUACUAUGUGAAUUCUCUACAGCACAGAGUGAAAAACCGAGUGUGGCAGACUCUGCUGGUACUUUUCCCUAGACUUGACCAGAAUUUCUUGAAUGGAAUUAUUGACAGGAUUUUCCAGGCUGGUUUCACCAACAAUCAAGCAUCCAUAAAAUAUUUUAUAGAAUGGAUUAUUAUAUUGAUUCUUCAUAAAUUCCCUCAAUUUCUUCCAAAGUUCUGGGAUUGUUUUUCUUAUGGUGAAGAAAAUCUUAAAACAAGCAUUUGUACGUUUUUAGCAGUUUUAUCACAUUUAGACAUUAUUACUCAAAAUAUUCCAGAAAAGGUAAGUUUGUUUGUAAGAAUUUAAACUUGACUGUAAAAAAA
rnacentral:lncRNA from 1 species